rnacentral:rRNA from 1 species
UACGGAGGGUGCAAGCGUUAUCCGGAUUCACUGGGUUUAAAGGGUGCGUAGGUGGGCUGGUAAGUCGGUGGUGAAAUCUCCAGGCUUAACUUGGAAACUGCCAUUGAUACUAUCAGUCUUGAAUACCGUGGAGGUCAGCGGAAUAUGUCAUGUAGCGGUGAAAUGCUUAGAUAUGACAUAGAACACCAAUUGCGAAGGCAGCUGGCUACACGAAUAUUGACACUGAUGCACGAAAGCGUGGGGAUCAAACAGG